ensembl:lncRNA
AUUAGCACGUCUUUAGCACAACAGAAGGUUCGGUUGGCAGGAGUCUGAAGACUGGACGAGAUGGUGUCGCUUGAGCUCUAUGGAGAUUUAAUAAGAGACAUUACUGCUCAGAACCUCUCGCACGCGGACAUUUCCACGAAGUUAUCACAAUUAGGUGUGCAGCGAUGUUCUGAAAUGAGUGUCAGGAGAUUUUGUGCACAUCACAACAUUUCCAGGAGGGGACAUGUAUCCGACACACAAUUAGAAGUUGCUAUCAGCAGGGCAAUAAAUCAGACAGGGUCAACAUAUGAUGACCAGGUAUCUGUCUGCGAUGGGAGUGGUUGCUGGUGAACGCCGGAUAGGGAGGAUUUUGAGAACAACGCAUUGUCCUUAUCACGAAAUGCGCAAUCGUGGUGCACGUAACCUUAACCCCGUCCCCUACAGUGCUGCAUACAUGGGACAUAAAAUCCACAUCGACCAGAAUGAAAAAUUGGUCAUGUUCAGAGUGACGCACGUUUUCGCAGUAGAUGCGUACAGCAGUAAGGUCAUUGCCCAUGCAACCAUGCCUGUCAAGAAUAAACUCACGAUAUAUGAGGAAGUUUACAGUCUGUAGCUGCUGAAUUCAUGGAUGAAUCAUCUGGCACUAGAGAAGAAGACCAUCAAACAUCCAUGUCAGCUGAUGGAGGUCCAAGAGUCUCACCAAACAACCAACCUACAGAGUGAAGACCUCAAAUCUGAUUGGACGGCCUCCUAUUCAGCCACAUGUGAACAAAUGCCUCUAAGUUGGUUUGUUUUCUAAAAUAACAUGACAUGUUCAGGCGUUCUUUGUGUGAAAACUCAGAGAUUUCAGGUAUCAGAAG